CCUCCUUCACCCUUGGCACAGCAACACACUGUCCUCCCCCUCUUCUUUCUUCGUCACAGCUCUGCAUUCAGGCACUGUGUUUCCCACCAGGCCUGAGAGCCGCUGACAGCCACAGAAAACAGACACCGAGUUUGAGACAUGCACUUAUAUAGAAACCGUUAGAGAUAGUCUGUGUGUGUGUUUUGUUGAAAAGCUAACACACACACACACACACACACACACCAAAGAACGGGUGCUGAGAGCUUGAAACUGUUUACACCAUGUGGGUGUCAAGCAGAAUGUGAGCCAGCUGCAGAACUCAGACAAACCCAUCAGUGUUUCAGGACGACAGACUCCGGUCAGCUCCGACAGGGUGAUCCUAUCUGCAGGACUGGGAAGGAGCCAGCAUAGUGUUCCUGUUUUCAGUGGGAGCCACCAGUAAGUAAUGUUCUCGAAAGGCCAAUUGCUGACGCAAUUCUUUUCUUCAACGGCAGCCUGUAAGUCAGGCUGUAACCGCACAACGACACGUUGGCAGGUUGGAAAUGGAGGGAAAACGAUGCGUGCCGCUUCAUGAAUCAUCGGGCUCAAACUCAUAAGUAUGCAGGCGAGCAGAGAGGACGCUUGUUAUUUCAACACUGUUGGUGUUCGGUGGGUUUUUGCAUCCUGGAUUCAUUGGGACAAAGGAGCUAAAGAGGGCUGCUUACUAAGUUUCACAAUAUCCAAUUAGUGAUUUAGGCCCUGCUUCAUCACAGCAACUCCCAGUGGACUCAGGACAGUUGAUGUUGAGUGAUGUGUCUUGUGAAGCAUGGUCCUUAUCAUGCUGCUGGCUCCACUAACGGAGGGAACCGUUCUCUGAUCUUCUACCACUAUUAAGAUCACAUGCAUCUACAUCUACAAAAAAAAAAACACCGAAAGAUGUGAGUGCUGAGCUCACCAGUGAGAGAAACACAGGGGGUUAAAGCCCAAGUACCAAGUGGGAGUGGGGAGAAGUCCAGAUUCAAGUCACAGAGUCUGCUUUCUCCUUCCUUCAGUGAAGAUCCCAGAGGCCUCUAAGCCAACAGUAGGUGUGGUGGUUACUUAGCAACCCUCCACGCAAACUGCCAGAGGACAAAGCAAGGGAGAAGAGGUUGAGUCCAGAACAAUCCCUGGUUCCCCCUCCUUCUCUGCUGGGAGUACUUAGACUUUAACCUUCCGCACAGCUCUCACACCGACCAGCUCAACAAUAACCUCUCAGCGCUGAAUCCCCUCUCAAGGGAAAUGAAGAACAGGGAUGGACAACACGUCUGUAACCCAUUCAUGGUCUACUCCACCCCAACAAGCCAGAAAAUAAAUUACUGUAGCUAAACUGAAAUAAUCAUACAUUGAGAAUUAUUGUAUUAUAGUACGUAACUAUAUUAAUAAAUGCAUUUAAAAUCAAUAAAAUAGAAAAGGUACUACCACA